CUGUGGUCUUCCUAGAAAUGGCAUGAGGACAGGAUUGAGUGUGCCGUCCCUCUGCUGGAAGGAAGGCAACUUCCGUCUGCUAAAUCCCGUGUUAUGAGAACAUUUGGUAUUUGAUUACAGUCAGCAACUUAUCAUUUCAUCUUCCAUUUUGUUGUUCAGUCAUGAGUUAAAUGUUUGGUAAGACAAGGGGGAAUGAUUUUAAACUAAGACAGGGGAGGUUUAGCUUGGAUAUGAGGAGGAAGUUUUUCACCCAGCGGGUGGUGACGCACUGAACAGGUUGCCCAAGGAGGCUGUGGAUGCCCCAUCCCUGCAGGCAUUCAAGGCCAGGCUGGAUGUGGCUCUGGGCAGCCUGGGCUGCUGGUUGGCGACCCUGCACAUAGCAGGGGGGUUGAAACGAGAUGAUGAUCUUAAGGGUCCCUUCCAAUCCAAACCAUUCUAUGAUUCUCUAAUUCUAUGAAAUUAAGGGAAUAAAUUAUAUAGGUGAAGAACAGAAUGGCAUGAACAAUUGAGUUUGAAAAGCCAC
rnacentral:lncRNA from 1 species